rnacentral:lncRNA from 1 species
AUUGGGAAAAUAGAAUUUUAAAUGCUCAUUCGGAUAUACAAAGUGUCUUUUCAUUUUAAAAAAAUGUAUUUGCCAAAUGUGUCAGGACUCUUUGGGUUGUAAAUGACAGAAACUCAACUCAAAAAAGCUUAAAUAUGAAAAGAGAAUUUCUCAACUCACCCAACAAACAAGCCCAGUUAUGUUACCAACUCUAAGUUUACUUCUGUUCCAGGGCAUGAAUGAUGUCUUGUUCUCUCUGCCUUCCCUGUGUCCAUUUUGUUUCACACUUGCCAGGUCUCUGUUCUCUCCUACUCUAGACAAGCUACUUCCCAUGGCCAGGUAAGACGGUCCAGUUUAACCGUUGCAGUAGAAAGCAUACCUCUCUUCAAGUUAAUGGACAUCCAGUCCCCAAAUGCACUCUUCACUCUUGCCUGGAUCAAGUGGUCAUUCUGGACCAAUCAGUGUAUCUAGAGGAAGUGGUCCUAUGAUUGGUUAAGCCUGGGUCAUGUGUCUCCCCUUGACCAAUCAGAAUGUGUACUCCCUCGGUCAUGUGCUCAUCCUGGACCAAUCACUACAUCCAGGGAAAGUGGUCCUAUCACUGGACAAGCCCUGGUCACGUGUCUACCCCUGACCAAUCACAGUGUUCACUUUAAGUUAUACAUCCAUUUUUUUGGAGGAAGAUGAAAAGUCCAAGACUGACAGAAGAAUCAGAGCAAGGAUGAAGCAGAGGUAUUCCCCCAAAGAAAAGCAUACUGAGCAGACCCAAGCAACAUGACCACAAUACAUGGGGUCCCCAGUUGCAGGAAUGCAUUAAGGAAAUUAUUUAUGGCACAACUACUGAGUUUGUAAAUACUCUGAAGUAGCAUAUAUGGAAAUUGUAUUUGUUUAAGUCUUAGACUGCAAGGUCUUUAAGAGUGUUUGAAAUUUUUAAAUGAAAUCUAAAAAGGAAAAAGGAAAAGCUUGUCUUUCUUGUCUCUGCAAGUAAAAUGAAGUACAGGCAAGAUGGAAAAACCAGAAUUCUCUCCCUGGCUCUGGAGUGGCGUGAUUUACCUGGUAGUUGGACCUUUUGUAAUUCUUCACCUCAGGGACUUUUGUUCCACUAAAAGCUCCAAGUAUGUGUGUGCAUGUGUGUACAGAAAGGAUUCCAUCACUGGACAAGUUUUGCUGGAGAUCCCCAAACAGAAAGGGAAGUAUCUUGAGGAUGAAGAAAACUCCCUGGGGCAACUGGAUAUCCCACCUUGCUUCCUAUUGAAGUUUCCAGAAUAGACAAUGCUGUAGGGGCUUAUAGGCACCUCACAUCUCAGCUGGUGCAACCACAAU